AGAAAGACUAAGCUCCUGGGUAAGAACUCUUUCUCCUUUGGUAACAGUCCUCUGGGACACAUGCACAUAAGCUCCACUGGCCAUAUUAGGUGUCCCCUUGUAACACUGCCCAAAAUCAGGGUGCCCGACGGGGUUCUGAGCUCCUUCCUAGGUGACACGGAUUAUUACAGUCCCAUGGGACCAAGAACACAAGCUCCCCCUGGCCUCCGGAGCCAGGUGAUCAGGACGCAUCCACUAGACAGCUGCGGCUGCAAAAACCUGGGCACCAGCUGAGCAUAAUGAACACCGGGUUGACUGAAAGGCUCCAGCUCCAGCACGAAGGGGAGCACGCCAAGAUGGCGCCCACCAGCCUCGGGUCAGUGCUUGUCUCUCAGGUGUGUGUGUGGAGUAGUUCUUGCCGCUCAGCCCCCCAUGCUUUAAUACAAGUGGGAGCGUCUCCUCCAUCGAAGUCUGGGGUCCCUCGGCUGCCGGAAGCUGGGUCCUGCUCCGGUGAGGAAUCACAAAAUCCUACCACUGAAGUAAAGGAAUUAACACUGCAUGGAAAUGAAUUGGAACUGAUGUUAGUAAAGUAAAGAAGACCAUGUUCUACUCCAUGAAGAGUAAGGUAAAAAUGGAAUUAUUUUUGCUCUCCUAUUCUGUAGAU
rnacentral:lncRNA from 1 species